rnacentral:rRNA from 1 species
UACGGAGGGUGCAAGCGUUGCUCGGAAUUAUUGGGCGUAAAGCGCACGCAGGCGGCAAGGUAAGUCAGUUGUGAAAUCCCCGGGCUUAACCUGGGAACAGCAUUUGAUACUGCCAUGCUAGAGUACGGAAGAGGGGAGCGGAAUUCCCAGUGUAGAGGUGAAAUUCGUAGAUAUUGGGAGGAACACCGGUGGCGAAAGCGGCUCCCUGGUCCGAUACUGACGCUCAUGUGCGAAAGCGUGGGGAGCAAACAGG